rnacentral:rRNA from 1 species
GACGAACCGUGCGAACGUUAUUCGGAAUCACUGGGCUUAAAGGGCGCGUAGGCGGGUCAUCAAGUCCGGGGUGAAAGCCCACGGCCCAACCGUGGAAGUGCCUUGGAUACUGAAGACCUCGAGGGGGAUAGGGGCGUGCGGAACUCAGGGUGGAGCGGUGAAAUGCGUAGAUAUCUGGAGGAACACCGGUGGCGAAAGCGGCUCACUGGACCUGAUCUGACACUGAGGUGCGAAAGCUAGGGUAGCAAACGGG